rnacentral:RNase_P_RNA from 2 species
GCGGAUGGCUGGAUGGCCGCGGGCCUUCGGGCUCGAGGAAAGUCCGGACUCCACAAGGCACGGUGCCGGGUAACGCCCGGCCGGGGCAACCCGAGGGAAAGCGCCACAGAGAACAGACCGCCUUGGUUCGCCAAGGUCAGGGUGAAACGGUGGGGUAAGAGCCCACCGCGGGACGGGCAACCGGACCGGCACGGCAAGCCCCACCGGGAGCAAUGCCAAAUAGGGACCUCGCGCGGGUGCUGAUCCGGUUCGCCGGAUAUCGCCGCAGGGACGCCUGACCCCGAGAGGUCCGGGUUGGCAGCUUCAGACGCCGUGGCAACACGGUGUCGAGAUGAAUGGUCAUCGCCGGGGGCAACCCCGGGACAGAAUCCGGCUUACAGGCCAUCCGCGCAA